rnacentral:rRNA from 1 species
CGGACGGGUGAGUAACACGUGGAUAACCUACCUAUAAGACUGGGAUAACUUCGGGAAACCGGAGCUAAUACCGGAUAAUAUUUUAAACCGCAUGGUUCAAAAGUGAAAGACGGUCUUGCUGUCACUUAUAGAUGGAUCUGCGCUGCAUUAGCUAGUUGGUAAGGUAACGGCUUACCAAGGCAACGAUGCAUAGCCGACCUGAGAGGGUGAUCGGCCACACUGGAACUGAGACACGGUCCAG